rnacentral:rRNA from 1 species
GAUGAACGCUAGCGGCAGGCUUAACACAUGCAAGUCGAGGGGCAGCAUACCCGGUGACGGGUGAUGGCGACCGGCGGAAGGGUGAGUAACGCGUGAGCAACAUACCCGUAUCAGUGGGAUAAUACAGGGAAACUUGUUCUAAUAUCACAUAAUAUUAUUCAGAGGCAUCUUUGGAUAAUUAAAGUUCAGGCGGAUACGGAAUGGCUCGCGUGACAUUAGCUAGAUGGUAGGUAAAGGCCUACCAUGGCUAUGAUGUCUAGGGGUUCUGAGAGGGAGGUCCCCCACACUGGGACUGAGAUACGGCCCAGACUCCUACGGGAGGCAGCAGUUGGGAAUCUUAGGCAAUGGACGAAAGUCUGACCUAGCGACGCCGCGUGAGGGAAGAAGGCCUUCGGGUUGUAAACCUCUGUCAUGGGGGAAGAAGGAAGUGACGGUACCCCAAGAGGAAGCCCCUGCUAACUACGUG